rnacentral:rRNA from 1 species
AUUGAACGCUGGCGGCAGGCCUAACACAUGCAAGUCGAACGGUAACAGGAAGAAGCUUGCUUCUUUGCUGACGAGUGGCGGACGGGUGAGUAAUGUCUGGGAAACUGCCUGAUGGAGGGGGAUAACUACUGGAAACGGUAGCUAAUACCGCAUAACGUCGCAAGACCAAAAAGGGGGACCUUCGGGCCUCUUGCCAUCGGAUGUGCCCAGAUGGGAUUAGCUAGUAGGUGGGGUAACGGCUCACCUAGGCGACGAUCCCUAGCUGGUCUGAGAGGAUGACCAGCCACACUGGAACUGAGACACGGUCCAGACUCCUACGGGAGGCAGCAAUGGGGAAUAUUGCACAAUGGGCGCAAGCCUGAUGCAGCCAUGCCGCGUGUAUGAAGAAGGCCUUCGGGUUGUAAAGUACUUUCAGCGGGGAGGAAGGGAGUAAAGUUAAUACCUUUGCUCAUUGACGUUACCCGCAGAAGAAGCACCGGCUAACUCCGUG